UACGGAGGGUGCAAGCGUUAUCCGGAUUCACUGGGCUUAAAGGGUGCGUAGGCGGGCAGGUAAGUCAGUGGUGAAAUCUCCGGGCUCAACUCGGAAACUGCCGUUGAUACUAUCUGUCUUGAAUAUCGUGGAGGUGAGUGGAAUAUGUCAUGUAGCGGUGAAAUGCGUAGAUAUGACAUAGAACACCAAUUGCGAAGGCAGCUCACUAGACGUAUAUUGACUCUGAGGCACGAAAGCGUGGGGAGCAAACAGG
rnacentral:rRNA from 1 species